rnacentral:rRNA from 1 species
GAUUCCCCUAGUAACUGCGAGUGAAGCGGGAAAAGCUCAAAUUUUGAAUCUGGCGGUCCCUGGCCGUCCGAGUUGUAAUCUAGAGAAGCGUCUUCUGUGCUGGCCCGUGUACAAGUCUCCUGGAAGGGAGCGUCAUAGAGGGUGAGAAUCCCGUCUUUGACACGGACUACCAGUGCUAUGUGAUGCGCUCUCGACGAGUCGAGUUGUUUGGGAAUGCAGCUCAAAUCGGGUGGUAAAUUCCAUCUAAAGCUAAAUACAGGCGAGAGACCGAUAGCGAACAAGUACCGUGAGGGAAAGAUGAAAAGAACUUUGGAAAGAGAGUUAAACAGUACGUGAAAUUGCUGAAAGGGAAACGCUCGAUGUCAGUCGCGUCGGCUGGGGAUCAACCUUGCAAGUCUGCUUGCUGGGCGCACUUCCCAGUCGACGGGUCAGCAUCAGUUUCGAUCGUCAUACAAGGGCAAGGGGAACGUGGCACUCUUUGGGGUGUGUUAUAGCCUCUCGUCGGAUGUGGUGAUCAGGACUGAGGAACUCAGCACGACC